rnacentral:rRNA from 1 species
AAGACCUUGCGCUUUUGGAGCGGCCGAUGUCUGAUUAGCUUGUUGGUAAGGUAAAAGCUUACCAAGGCUUCGAUCAGUAGCUGGUCUGAGAGGACGGCCAGCCACACUGGGACUGAGACACGGCCCAGACUCCUACGGGAGGCAGCAGUGGGGAAUUUUGGACAAUGGGGGCAACCCUGAUCCAGCCAUGCCGCGUGAGUGAAGAAGGCCUUCGGGCUGUAAAGCUCUUUCAGCCGGAACGAAACGGUUACGGUUAAUACCCGUGACUACUGACGGUACCGGAAGAAGAAGCACCGGCUAACUACGUGCCAGCAGCCGCGGUAAUACGUAGGGUGCAAGCGUUAAUCGGAAUUACUGGGCGUAAAGCGUGCGCAGGUGGUUUUGUAAGUCAGAUGUGAAAUCCCCGGGCUUAACCUGGGAAACU